AAUGGCAAUGCCAAACGUCCUUGUGCCGCUCACUGUGCCGGUGCUGUGAGAGGCGGGGGCUGAGUCCGGCCGGGGCGGAGCUGGCGGCGGCGGAGAGGAGGCGGCACGGCCGGAGCAGAGAGCCGGGGCUGGCGGGGACAGCGAUGCUCGGGCGGCGGAGCGGCGGGAUGCGGCGGGGUCGGGGCGCGGGGCUGGCGGCGCUGGCCGCGGUGCUGCUCGUGGCUGUGGCCAGAGCCCAGGUAGAGCAGGAGCAGUGGCUGGAGACCACCGACGGCACCGGCAUCAACAUCAGCUGCUCCCACACCAACACACGGAUCGGCGAAACGAUCUGCUGGUAUCGUCAGCUCCCGGGCCGGGGCCCCGAGCUCCUCGUACUCACUGCUAGAGGGUCCAGUGAUCUGCCGGACAGAGAGGGCCACCUGUGGGUGUCGGAAGAUCGCAAAUCCAGCGCUCUGUACCUCGCUCGGCCCCGGCGCGGGGACGCGGCCGUGUAUUACUGCGCGCUGAGUGACACGGGCACAGGAGCCGCGGCUGCGGCCGGGCACGAACCGCCGCGG